rnacentral:tRNA from 4 species
GGGAAUGUGGUGAAAUUGGUAGACACGACGGACUUAAAAUCCGUUGCUUAGUGAUAAGCGUGAGGGUUCAAGUCCCUCCGUUCCCA